UACGUAGGUGGCAAGCGUUGUCCGGAUUUACUGGGCGUAAAGGAUGCGUAGGCGGACAUUUUAAGUCAGAUGUGAAAUACCCGAGCUUAACUUGGGUGCUGCAUUUGAAACUGGGUGUCUAGAGUGCAGGAGAGGUAAGUGGAAUUCCUAGUGUAGCGGUGAAAUGCGUAGAGAUUAGGAAGAACACCAGUGGCGAAGGCGGCCCGCUGGGCAGUGGCUGACGCUGAGGCGCGACAGCGUGGGGAGCAAACAGG
rnacentral:rRNA from 1 species